AGCCCUAGAGUUCCCAACACUCCGACCACAGGGGCUUCACCAUUGCUGUUGUUCGACCACCCUCUCCAUCUGCCUUCACUGUCUCCGUCCCCUUCUCUCGCCCAUCCACCGUCGCCUUGCUGCCAUCUGCCGUCGCCCGCCGGUCCUCCUCCAUCCUGUUGCCAUGAUCGGUCGUCGCCACCGCCUCCACCCCGCUCCCAUGCGCCAUCUCUCGCCCCACUAGCGCCGCCCCACCUUUUCACUCCAAGCCCCUUUCACGAUGCACCAAUUUCUCUUGGUCAGCCAGAAAUAGCGGCCAUAACCAGACCGCAGGAUUUUCUCGUAACGGAGUUAUAGCCGAACCGAAGACAGUCAAAUAAAUCAACGGCACGGCAUCCAACUCCCGUAGUCUCCGGCUCUGCGGUAUACUUUGUCGGAUCUGGUUCGAUGCACCUAUGAAUAGAUAUGAAAAGUGCCCAGAAACAGGGACACUACUUUGUCGGAUCUGGUUCGAUGUCUCUAUGAAUAGAGAUGAACAGUGUCGAGAAAAGCGGACACGUUUGAAGCCCGGGCGUUCAUGCCUGCUUGGGAUACGAUCACCUCCCCGUUAUGUUUGCUCCUCUUCCCCUUUUUGAUUUCGCUGUUCUCUACUUCUUCGAUUUGGAUUCUCCUCCAUAUUUUUUCGCCGCUGUUUAUGGAGAGGAACAAGGAGGGCUAUUUGUGGCUUUUUGACCGUCUGUUAUUCUCAUCGAUCGGGAGGCCUGGACCACUUUCCUCAACCAUCGUGACGCAUGAGCUGAUGCAUAUCGUAGUGGAUUCUUCUUUAAUCCAGCGGACCUUUUGAUCUCCUGAUUCCUCUGGGGCUGGAAAGAGGCUUGUUUGGUUGAGCAGAGCCAGAGACGCUUUAUUUAUUUAUUUAUUUUCUCGGAUUCCUGAUAGCUAUGGCGGCGAACACGAACCCAUUGUUGAAGAAGGUGUACUAUGAGAACUGCCCGGGUUGCAAGCAGGACCGGAGGAAUGAGGUCCAUCUGGGAAUACCUUAUAAAGAAUUCUUUUAUAUAUGGGUCGUCACACUGUGCUCUGCCCUACCAAUAUCAUCAUUGUUUCCCUUCCUUUAUUUCAUGAUAAGAGACUUGCAUAUUGCCAAAAGAGAAGAAGAUAUUGGAUUUUAUGCAGGCUUUGUGGGAUCUGCAUUUAUGUUUGGGAGAGCUUUGACAUCUGUAUUUUGGGGAAUGGUUGCUGACCGAUAUGGGAGAAAACCAGUUAUAGUGAUUAGUAUUGUUUCGGUAAUUGUGUUUAAUACACUUUUUGGGCUCAGUACUAGCUAUGUGAUGGCGAUUACCACAAGAUCACUUCUUGGAUUUUUAUGCGGAUUACUUGGCCCAGUAAAGGCUUAUGCUUCAGAAGUCUGCCGAAAAGAACAUCAAGCUUUGGGAUUAUCACUUGUUAGUACGUCACGGGGCAUAGGUUUGAUUGUUGGUCCAGCAAUUGGAGGUUUCCUUGCACAGCCUGCAGAGAAAUAUCCAAAUAUAUUUUCUGAAGAUUCUUUAUUUGGGAGAUUUCCAUACUUUCUGCCAUGUCUUUGCAUAUCACUCUUUGCAGUUGGCGCAUUUAUAGCCUGUUUUUGGCUUCCAGAAACUCUGCAUAUGCACAAGGGAAAUAGUUUGGGAGAUGGUACAGUUGAAUCUCUUGAAGCUUCCUUAAUUGGCUCUGAUCUGAAAAGAAACAGUGAAGAAACUGAAGGAAUAGAAUUGGCUUCUAAUAAGAACUUACUAAAAAAUUGGCCGCUGAUAUCAUCAAUCAUUGUUUAUUGUGUUUUCUCUCUUCAAGACAUGGCCUAUUCAGAGAUAUUCUCCCUAUGGGCUGUGAGCAGUAAAAGGUAUGGAGGAUUGAGCUUUUCAUCUCAAGAUGUUGGUGAGGUGCUUGCAAUCACAGGUUUUAGUCUGCUUGUUUAUCAACUGCUACUUUAUCCACGUUUUGUGAAAUGUUUAGGACAUAUCACUUCAACUCGUGUGGCAGCGGUUUUAUCUAUACCAUUGCUUGCCAGCUAUCCAUUUAUGGCUAAGCUAUCUGGAUUUACACGUUCCUUGAUUGUGAAUUGUGCGUCCUUGCUGAAAAAUGUUUUUUCUGUAACAAUAAUCACUGGGUUCAACAUUCUACAGAACAAUGCUGUGUCUCAACAGCAAAGAGGUGCUGCAAAUGGUAUGUCUGUAACUGCAAUGUCUCUUUUUAAAGCAGCUGCACCUGCAGGUGGAGGAGCUCUAUUUUCCUGGGCACAAAGCCGUCAAAAAGCUUCCUUCUUACCAGCAACUUGCCCAUCAAGGAGGUCCAUAUACAAAUCUGGGGGAUUGCUUUAGAAGAGAUAAAAGAUAAAUGGGAUCUCAUCAUCUGAAUUUGACUUCUUGAACCAAAGGUGAUCAUAUGGUUUUUUUCGUCUUGAAUAUUGUUGGAUUUGUGGGGCUCUUACUGACCUUCAAACCCUUCUUAACUCAACCAAGUAGAAAGAGUACUACCUAGAGGUCUGAAUGCCAGGUUGAAGAAGUGAUGUAUGCAUGGGCUACACAACUGAAACAGAGUUGAUACACAUUUUUAACAUUUUUUUUUUUCUUUCAUAUGAUUUUGAUGUUAUAGAAGUUGAGGUGCAAUUAUGAGCAAAUAUAAUGGUAAAAUGUGAUAUUUUGGUAAUUGUUCAUCUUAUCCAUAUAUAUAAUUCAGGAGAUUGAUUACUCAUCAAAUGAGUCUGCACUGAAAUCUAGGUAACCACAAUUCUCUGAGCGUAUUUCUUGUCAAUGUAAAUGGAUUCAUCUUCCCUUUUUUAGUGCAGAAUUGCACUCGGAGAAAAUCUUUCCAACAGAUGUCAUGAUAGACCGUAUAAACCUCCCAGAUUUAUGUUGCCUUGUCCCUCUGCCUGUAAAGAAGUCUGGUCUUAUUAGUUAAAAAGAAAAAAACAAAAAAGUGUCAGUCCAUAGGUGACGCUAUACCUCAACCAUUUUAAUGUUCUGCAAAAGUUUGCCAGUUUUGAGGUAUGAUGAUCCCUAUUUGAUAUGCACUGCCUUGCAAACCCACACGAUGCAAGGGAAAGUAAGAGGUUUGGGAAUAUUUUCACACUAGAUCUUAUGCAAUGCAUGCGAAAUGUAGAACCCUUUUUUGUGAUUAAAGAUUAUUUGGCAUUACUAUUUCUUUUAAGCAGAGAGACUAGGGAGAUGUUAACGUAAGAUGAUGCGUUUUCCCCUUUUUUUCUUAGUUCUCAAAGUUUAGGUUUUAGAGUGCUAGAUGGACAAUUGUGGGAUUUCUUUAUCUGGAUAUGAAUGGAGUUGCUGGUUAAGAGAUUGAUUGUUUAGUAUCUUUCUUGUUCGGACUUUUAUGAGGAAAUUCUUGUUUGGACUCUGUUUACCGGAUGUUUAAGGUUCUUCUUUCUAAUGGCAGACCAACUGAUAGAUGAGGAGUAUCUUCAGUGUUACUUUCUACCGUGAGGUUAUUAUAAAAGGAUGUAUCAUAUAUUUCCAAGGUUGUGAAGGUCCCAAGUUUUCUUCCCACCCAUCAGUUUUGGCCUCCAUUCCUGAGGGGAAGCAAAGAUAAACAAGAAGUUACAAGGGCAGAUUGUAUAUAUUACUAACUGAAAAUCAAUUAUAAAUCAGAUUAAUGAAUCGUAGGAUAGAUUCAAAGAUUCAUGAAAGCGCAGUCUGUUGCAACUUGGUGCUUAGAGGGGACACUACACAAAGAUACGCAACAGGUAAUGCGAAUAAAGGAAACUAAAUUUAUGCGUAGAUCAGAAUUUACAUAUAGGUCUUACACGAGGGAAAGUGAAUAAAGAGAUUGAUGAAUGAGAGACCUAAGAAUUAUAAUAGCUCAAAUAGUAUUGAAUUGAAAGUUGCUUGAGGUUCAUUGUAGUGCACUCAUUCCAGUCACGUCUAAAAUUGAACUGUACUUACAUCUAUCAGAAAAAUAUCCCCAAAAAGUUAAUGAU